GGAGGCAAACUGAGGAGUGAGGGUAGAAGGCAGAGGGAUGACCUGAGCUUGGCUGACUGGUCUAGAAGAUGUGAUCGCUGGCUGUGUUGGCCACUAUCUGCCGGCAUGGGGACGUUCAUGAGGGUUACUACGGAGCAGAGGAAGCAGAUGUCAGGGCUUGGCAACGUGUUCUGAUCUGCAAAAGACCACAGUUUAACCCCCCUGAAUCGUGUAACACCACUGAAUACUACAGUAGAAACCCACAGGUGGACUUGUGAACUCGUUCAUAUCGCAGACAUCACACCGAGCUGUUGCUUCUUGAUUUAAAUGCCUUUAUUUCGUGGCUUGCCCUUCCCUGCUGCCUAAUUUGGGAGCCCAACCUCAGUCAGUAAGUUCAGAAUUUUAGGCUAUUGCUUUUUAACUUUAUGUACAGUUCCCAAACUUAACAGCGCUUCUGUAUCAGCUUAAAGAAUAACUGCGUACAGAGCCUAACAAUUCUUGAUGUGAUAUAUUCUUUUUCUGGUUUCCAAAAGGUAACCCCAGUGAAGUCUAAAUGGAGUUUUGGGAAAAGACUUCCAGAGGGAAGCCGCUCAGUUUGCUUUCUGUCAGCUUUAGGAACUCUGAGCAGCAUGGAGUUUUGAAUAAUAUUAUUUCAGUGAAACCAGUAAAAAGAUCUUGGAUCUACGGAGUUCUGCAAGGUGCAAAUCGUGCUAGCAGAGCACAGUGAAGUGCCCAUUUGGGCCUCUGAAAGGCAGUCUUAGUGUCAUACCAUUGGGCACUGUGUCCCGCGGGUGAGCGGCUGGGAUAGGAGUAUGUAUUCUGCUGGGUUAGAACUUUUGGGUCAACAUCAGAAUAGAAUAUUUACUUUCAGCGUUCCUGAUGUUUAGUCACUGAAGUUUUUCACUUUAGUGGUCUCUGGCCUUGCAGGCUGGUGGCUGUGUAGCACGUGGGAAGUCCCUCUGAGCUGUGGUGGCCAGCACUGAGGCUGAUGCUGCUUUGUCUGCUGGGGAGGAACAAAAAUGAAGCAAACCAAAUGCUAAAAAUGUAAGAAGCAAACUUAAACAUCAAAAAGAUACCAAAAAGUCUUGGAGUCUCUUUUUCAAGUCAGAAGCUCUGGAUGCAUGGUGAAUGCAGACUUGGCUUCUUGUUUGAAGGAAUCUCUGUAAUAGCUUUGUUUUAUUUAGUCUUAAGUUAAGCAGCAUUGCAGUGGAGACCUGGAGGAUGUCUUCAAAUAGUUGCUUAAGGAAUGCAUUUACCUACUAACAGUAAGCCUUAAAGAAAAUUUAACGUUGUAUAUGCUUAGCUAAGGGUCUGCUCUGUGAGUAAGGGAAUGUUUCUGGAGGGGGGGAAGAAAGAUAAAUGUGCCUGGCAGGUGUGAUAGAGAUUCCAAGCCUGUGUGGGUAAAGGCCAUAUGUAAUUCCCUUUCCUUAUGUAAUUUGCCAUAUUUUUAUUUCCAGUAAAUGGAAGUAUUUAUUUGGGUGGCCCGAGCAGAAAUUAGCACUGACAAUUAUGAGUAUUAUUCCUUUGCAUCCCUUGGAAAAAAAAAUCCUAAUUUAUAAUGAAGGAGAGAGCAAAGAAAAAAAUUAACUUUCCUCUGCUGUGAUUGGUAUAGCUAGUCAGGGGGGUUACUGAUAUUAAGUGCAUCAUGACUGCUGCACCUGAUAUAACAAAAAUUAAUUGCAUGUUUCAGUGACAGUCAAAUCAUUAUUGCUUUGUCCCACAAACCUAGCCCCAUUACAUGUAAGCAGGAUCGAGCCCAUUGGUUUCGUAAGGGCAAUUCAAAUGCAUGAAACCCCCCCCAAGUUUAGGCUCAGCCACAGGCAAACAAAAGUCUCCCGCACGUUAGGAACCAAAAAGCAGGUUUAGGAUGAAUUUUUCAUAUGAGUGUAACCCCAAGUAGGAAGAAAAAAAACUCCAUUAGGGUAGCAGUGGAAGCUAAAUGUUAAACAAGCUUGGAUCAGGAAAAAAAAAUUGUCAGAGCAGCAUAGUGGCACUUUAUCACUCUGUCAUCUGUUA